GUUCAAGCCGCCGCGGUAAUACAGAGGGGGCAAGCGUUGUUCGGAAUUACUGGGCGUAAAGGGCGCGUAGGCGGCCUGUUAAGUCGAACGUGAAAUCCCCGGGCUCAACCCGGGAACUGCGUCCGAAACUGGCAGGCUCGAAUUCGGGAGAGGGAUGCGGAAUUCCAGGUGUAGCGGUGAAAUGCGUAGAUAUCUGGAGGAACAUCGGUGGCGAAGGCGGCAUCCUGGACCGAUAUUGACGCUGAGGCGCGAAAGCCAGGGGAGCAAACGGGAUUAGAUACCCCCGUAGUCC
rnacentral:rRNA from 1 species